rnacentral:rRNA from 1 species
UCAAGCUAUAAAGAGCGUAGGGAGAAUGACUUGGCAUCAGGAGCCGAAGAAGGACGUGACAAGCUGCGAAAAGCUGCGGUUAGGAGCAAAUAUCCAUAGACCCGCAGAUAUCCGAAUGGGGAAACCCGGUACGGCAAUACCGUAUCACUGCAUGGUAAAUACAUAGCCAUGUGGAGGAAACCCUCUGAACUGAAACAUCUAAGUAGGAGGAGGAAGAGAAAGAAACAUCGAUUUCCUAAGUAGCGGCGAGCGAAAGGGAAAGAGGCCAAACCAGAGAUAGCAAUAUCUUUGGGGUUGCGGACUGCAAAAUUGAUUCAAUAUUUUUAGCAGAAGUGUAUGGGAAGACACACCAUAGUAGGUAAUAGUCCUGUAAGCGAAAAGGAUAUUGACAAGGCAGGAUCCAGAGUACCACCGGACACGAGGAACCCGGUGGGAAGCCGGGGGGACCACCCCCCAAGCCUAAAUACUACCUGAUGACCGAUAGUGAAAAGUACAGUGAUGGAAAGUUGAAAAGAACCCCGGAAGGGGAGUGAAAAAGAACCUGAAACCCUAUGUUUACAAGCUGCUAAAGCACCAUAUGAGUGCGAUAGCGUACUUUUUGUAGAACGGUCCGGCGAGUGUAUGUUGCAAGCGAGGUUAAGGUGUUAAGCACUGAAGCCGAAGGGAGACCGAGUGUGAAUAGCGCGUACAGUUUGCAGUAUACGACCCGAAACCGGGUGACCUAACCAUGGACAGGUUGAAGUGGAAGUAAAAUUCCAUGGAGGACCGAACCCACGUCUGUUGAAAAAGGCGGGGAUGAGCUGUGGUUAGCGGUGAAAUUCCAAUCGAACUCGGAUAUAGCUGGUUCUCAUCGAAAUAGCUUUAGGGCUAGCCUCAGGAUAGUUUAGCGGAGGUAAAGCACUGAAUGGGCUAGGGGGCUUCACGGCUUACCGAACCCUAUCAAACUCUGAAUGCCGCAUAAAUGUUUCCUGGGAGUCAGACUGCGUGAGAUAAGUUUCGUAGUCAAAAGGGAAAGAGCCCAGACCUACAGCUAAGGUCCCUAAAUGAAUUUAAGUGGAAAAGGAUGUGCAGUUGCGUAGACAACUAGGACGUUGGCUUAGAAGCAGCCACUCAUUUAAAGAGUGCGUAAUAGCUCACUAGUCGAGUGAUUGUGCGCCGAAAAUGUAACGGGGCUAAAAUUCAUACCGAAGCUUAGGAAUGAUAGUAAUAUUGUUGGUAGAUGAGCGUUGUGUAAGUCUGCGAAGCUACACCGAAAGGAGUAGUGGAGAUAUCACAAGUGAGAAUGCCGGAAUGAGUAGCGAGAAUUAUGUGAGAAUCAUAAUGGUCGAAAAUCUAAGGUUUCUUGAGGAAGGUUCGUCCGCUCAAGGUAAGCCGGGAGCUAAGGCGAGGCCGAGAGGCGUAGUCGAUGCACAUACGGUAAAGAUUCCGUAGCCACCGAAGUCGUUAAAUACAGGGACACAGGAACAUAGCCUAACCCCACCGUUGGUUGAGUGGGGCGUAAGGGAGCGAAAAUUAGUAGCGAAGUGGGUGAUUGUACACUGGCGAGAAAAGCUGUAUGAAUUGACAAGGUGCCCGUACCGCAAACCGACACAGGUAGAUGAGGAGAGAAUCCUAAGACCAGCGGGAGAAGUGUUGUUAAGGAACUCGGCAAAAUGACCCCGUAACUUCGGGAUAAGGGGAGCCUACGAGAGUAGGCCGCAGAGAAUAGUCUCAAGCGACUGUUUAGCAAAAACACAGGUCUAUGCUAAAUCGAAAGAUGAUGUAUAUGGGCUGACGCCUGCCCGGUGCUGGAAGGUUAAGGGGAAGUGUUAGAGCAAUCGAAGCACUGAACUUAAGCCCCAGUAAACGGCGGCCGUAACUAUAACGGUCCUAAGGUAGCGAAAUUCCUUGUCAGGUAAGUUCUGACCCGCACGAAUGG